CCUACGGGGGGCAGCAGUGGGGAAUAUUGGACAAUGGGGGGAACCCUGAUCCAGCCAUGCCGCGUGUGUGAAGAAGGCCCUCGGGUUGUAAAGCACUUUCAGUGAGGAAGAACGCCUGGUGGUUAAUACCCAUCAGGAAAGACAUCACUCACAGAAGAAGCACCGGCUAACUCCGUGCCAGCAGCCGCGGUAAUACGGAGGGUGCGAGCGUUAAUCGGAAUUACUGGGCGUAAAGCGCGCGUAGGUGGCUUGAUAAGCCGGUUGUGAAAGCCCCGGGCUCAACCUGGGAACGGCAUCCGGAGCUGUCAAGCUAGAGUGCAGGAGAGGAAGGUAGAAUUCCCGGUGUAGCGGUGAAAUGCGUAGAGAUCGGGAGGAAUACCAGUGGCGAAGGCGGCCUUCUGGACUGACACUGACACUGAGGUGCGAAAGCGUGGGUAGCAAACAGGAUUAGAUACCCGUGUAGUC
rnacentral:rRNA from 1 species